ACGGAAGGCAGCAGUGGGGAAUAUUGCACAAUGGGCGCAAGCCUGAUGCAGCGAUGCCGCGUGAGGGAAGAAGGUUUUCGGAUUGUAAACCUCUGUCAACAGGGACGAAAAUGACGGUACCUGUGAAGGAAGCUCCGGCUAACUACGUGCCAGCAGCCGCGGUAAUACGUAGGGAGCAAGCGUUAUCCGGAAUUACUGGGUGUAAAGGGAGUGUAGGCGGGACUGUAAGUCAGAUGUGAAAUAUGCCGGCGCAACUGGCAGACUGCAUUUGAAACUGCGGUUCUUGAGUGAAGUAGAGGUAAGCGGAAUUCCUAGUGUAGCGGUGAAAUGCGUAGAUAUUAGGAGGAACAUCAGUGGCGAAGGCGGCUUACUGGGCUGUAACUGACGCUGAGGCUCGAAAGCGUGGGGAGCAAACAGGAUUAGAUACCCUGGUA
rnacentral:rRNA from 1 species